rnacentral:rRNA from 1 species
GACAGAGGGUGCGAACGUUGUUCGGAAUUACUGGGCGUAAAGCGCAUGUAGGCGGCAGCGCAAGUCGGGCGUGAAAUCCCACGGCUCAACCGUGGAAGUGCACUCGAAACUGCGCAGGCUAGAGUCCUGGAGAGGAAGGUGGAAUGCUUGGUGUAGAGGUGAAAUUCGUAGAUAUCAAGCGGAACACCGGUGGCGAAGGCGGCCUUACUGGACAGU